CGCUAUCACUCCUACGGGAGGCAGCAGUGGGGAAUAUUGCACAAUGGGGGAAACCCUGAUGCAGCCAUGCCGCGUGUGUGAAGAAGGCCUUCGGGUUGUUAAAGCACUUUCAGUAGGGAGGAAGGUAGUGUAGUUAACACCUGCAUUAUUUGACGUUACCUACAGAAGAAGCACCGGCUAACUCCGUGCCAGCAGCCGCGGUAAUACGGAGGGUGCGAGCGUUAAUCGGAAUUACUGGGCGUAAAGCGCAUGCAGGCGGCCUGUUAAGUCAGAUGUGAAAGCCCGGGGCUUAACCUCGGAAUUGCAUUUGAAACUGGCAGGCUAGAGUCUUGUAGAGGGGGUAGAAUUUCAGGUGUAGCGGUGAAAAUGCGUAGAGAUCUGAAGGAAUACCAGUGGCGAAGGCGGCCCCCUGGACAAAGACUGACGCUCAGAUGCGAAAGCGUGGGGAGCAAACAGGAUUAGAUACCCUGGUAG
rnacentral:rRNA from 1 species